UCUAACUAAUCCAUCCACCAUCUUAUUUCUCAAAUUCGUUUUAUAAUCUGCCUAGCUAAAAAUCUAUUUAAGUUUUAGUUUAUUUGUUUUACUUUCAACUUCACCAACCCAAAUCCCCCUUUUACUUUCUUGUUUUAAAGUCUUUUGUUUACAUUUUUAACUUUGUUUCUUUUUGUUUUUGAGUCAGUUUAGAGGUUUUAGCAAACCCUCCUAAUCCUCGGUUUAGAACGAUCCCUACUUACAUACUUUGCUACAAUUGUCAAAAGAGGGUUUAAUUUGUGUGCUUAUAUUAUUCGCAUCAAUGUUGAAGUGAUAAACCACUUAACGAGACGGAAACUAGGCAAGGACUUCACCUUUAUGUCCCUAUACUUAUGGUUCACUAAGUUUAUUGUAAACUAUGUAGUGAACAAUAACCACAUGCUCUCCAAAAUGUUUGAUGUGUAUAA
rnacentral:lncRNA from 1 species